UGAGCAGAGAGGCAGGAGUUCCUCUGCAGGUCUUCCCAGGCACCACCUCUUCUGGAAGGAAGGCUUGGGAGUCCCCUGAGACAGAUCCUCAGUCACUUCUCUCUGCCUGUGUCUCAGGAAGACCAGCUCCUCCUGCUGUCUUCUGUGCUAGGGAUCACUUUCUUGUUGAGUGGCACCUGAGUUUUGAGAGGGUCUUCUGCUCCUCUUCAUCUUGUCCCUUUUCUUUCAAGGUCCCAGAGAGGAAGGCAUGCGGUGGGCCCUAGCCCUGCUUCUAGCUUUCUUGUUUCCUGCUGGUCAGAAAUCUUCCAACUUGGAAGGGAUAACAAAGUCAGUCACCAGGCCAACUGGGUCAUCUGCUGAAAUAACUUGUGAUUUUUCUGGAGACAGUAACUUUUAUAUCCACUGGUACCUACACCAGGAGGGGAAGGUCCCACAGCGUCUUCUGUACUAUGACGUCUCCAACUCAAGGGAUGUGUUGGAAUCAGGACUCAGUCCAGGAAAGUAUUAUACUCAUACACGCACAAGGUGGAGUUGGAUAUUGAUACUGCGAAAUCUAAUUGAAAAUGAUUCUGGGGUCUAUUACUGUGCCAACUGGGACAGGCACAGUGAUUCAGACCUGCCCCCCUCUCAUUUCCUGCCACCAAAUUUACUGUAUGCUGAACAAGAGAAACACAGCUUAACUCCUGACCUCCCCCUAAUAUCACAUUCCCCUGGCAGCAGCUGCCCCCUGUUCGCCACCCUCCCCCAGAACUUUCCUGAAGACCAAGCUGCCAUCUCCAGGCCUCAGCUAAGCAGCCUGGCUGAGAGCAAGGUUCUCUUAGCUCUCCUAGGACAUGGGCAAGGCCCACUCAAUCUGCUACCUAGGACAGACAGGUACACCUAGGGUCUAGCUGUGAAGCAAGAUAUUCUGGACAGCAAAUGGGAAGGGUAUUUUUACUGAAUCAUGUAUCCAAUCAUGGUCCAGAUAUCGCAGCUGAGAGUGGUGCUUUUUCCUUAUGUCUGUAACAAUACAAACGAUACUAAAAUUACCACCAAAAUACCUGGCCUAGAUAUGCAGUUGAACAUUCUCUCCCUCUGCCCUCCCUUUUAUUCUCUCUUUUUCUUCUUUGCUUGCUUUUAUUUUUUUCUCCCUUCCUUCCUCCCUCCCUCGCUCCAUCCUUCUAUCCCUUCUUCCCUUGUUUCCUUCCAUCCAUUUUCCUUCUUUUCUUUCCUUCCUGCCUUCUUUACUUUUCUCUCUCUUUCUUUCCUUUUUCGGGUACAUAAUCAAAAUACUUUUUCCACAAAAUCAUUUGAAAUAAUUUUUCUCUAUUUGUUCAUGCCAACAUUGAUACAGCUACUUUAAUUGUUCAGUUUUCAUUUUUAUAUUUUGGAAACUUGUUGUGUUACUUUGUUUUGUUUCAUAUUUGUUUUGUAUAUAUAAAACAUUUACAUGGAACUGAAGUCAAAAUUAUAAAAGAAGAUGGAUUUGAAGAUUUUAACUUCCAUUGUAGAAUUCUUGUUCCUCUUUUCUCCCUCACCCUAUAGGUAACAAUAUUUUUAUCAGUUCACUUGAGCUUUUUCACUCUGUUUUUCAUAGCGGAGAAUGUAUUGCUUCUAUUUCAAUGCCAUAUUUAUAUUUUCAUUCUGAUAUUCCGUUUUUGUACAUUGUAAUCAAUCUUUUAUUUUCCUAUGUCUGGAUUGUGUGUCUUACUUCUAAAGGUGCACAUACUUCAUAAGUAUGCAUAAAGAAAUCCAUAUUAUGUAUUUGAA